rfam:Mesocricetus auratus contig197540, whole genome shotgun sequence.
GGAUCGAUGAUGAAAACAAGUUCUGAGGACAGUGAUCAAUUUAUAACUAUGCCAAUCUGAGCUCC